GCAUUGUUUACCAAUGUCCGAGUUGUAAUUUGUAGAACUGUUAUCCGUGCUGGACCAUGUACAAGUCUGUUGAAAAACAGCAUCAUUGAAGGUGAAAAUCCUGUAAAUGAUAUGGACUACCAGUGCAUUUGUGAUACGGUUUCUAAGAGUCGAGUUGUUUGGGAAUGCAGCUCAAAGUGGGUGGUAAAUUCCAUCUAAGGCUAAAUAUAAGUGAGAGACCGAUAGCAUACAAGUACCGUGAGGGAAAGAUGAAAAGAACUUUGAAAAUAGAGUUAACAGUACGUGAAAUUGCUGAAAGGGAAACGUUUGAAGUUAGUAUUGUAUUCGUUGGAUCAGCUUCGCAAGAGGUCUAUUCCGAUGAUAAGCAAGUCAACAUCAGUCUAUGAGUGUUGGAAAAAGGGCUCGAGAAUGUAGCAAUUUAAUUGUGUUAUAGCUUGGGACCUCGAAUACAACGCUCUUGAUUGAGGAACGCGUAGUAAGCUUUGAGCGGGUUCGAAAGAGCCUCCUUACUAUGGAUGUU
rnacentral:rRNA from 1 species